rnacentral:rRNA from 1 species
GACAGAGGGUGCAAACGUUGUUCGGAAUUACUGGGCGUAAAGCGUGCGCAGGCGGUUUUGUAAGUCUGUCGUGAAAUCCCCGGGCUCAACCUGGGAAUUGCGAUGGAGACUGCACGGCUAGAGUUUGGCAGAGGGGGGUAGAAUUCCACGUGUAGCAGUGAAAUGCGUAGAUAUGUGGAGGAAUACCGAUGGCGAAGGCAGCCCCCUGGGUCAAGACUGACGCUCAUGCACGAAAGCGUGGGGAGCAAACGAGGAUUAGAAACCCGGGGUAGUCCAAGCAACC